CAAUAGCGUAUAUUUAAGUUGCUGCAGUUAAAAAGCUCGUAGUUGGAUUUCGGGUGGGAAUGGCCGGUCCGCCGUUUCGGUGUGCACUUGCUACGCCCACCUUGCUGCCGGGGACGUGCUCUUGAGUUCACGCUCGGGACACGGAGUCGGCGAGGUUACUUUGAGUAAAUUAGAGUGUUCAAAGCGGGCCUACGCUCUGAAUACAUUAGCAUGGAAUAACACGAUAGGACUCUGGCCUAUCUUGUUGGUCUGUAGGACCGGAGUAAUGAUUAAGAGGGACAGUCGGGGGCAUUCGUAUUUCAUUGUCAGAGGCGAAAUUCUUGGAUUUAUGAAAGACGAACUACUGCGAAAGCAUUUGCCAAGGAUGUUUUCAUUAA
rnacentral:rRNA from 1 species